AGUGAACGCUGGCGGUAGGCCUAACACAUGCAAGUCGAACGGCAGCACAGUAAGAGCUUGCUCUUACGGGUGGCGAGUGGCGGACGGGUGAGGAAUACAUCGGAAUCUACUUUUUCGUGGGGGAUAACGUAGGGAAACUUACGCUAAUACCGCAUACGACCUACGGGUGAAAGCAGGGGAUCUUCGGACCUUGCGCGAUUGAAUGAGCCGAUGUCGGAUUAGCUAGUUGGCGGGGUAAAGGCCCACCAAGGCGACGAUCCGUAGCUGGUCUGAGAGGAUGAUCAGCCACAUUGGAACGGAGACACGGUCCAGACUCCUACGGGAGGCAGCAGUGGGGAAUAUUGGACAAUGGGCGCAAGCCUGAUCCAGCCAUACCGCGUGGGUGAAGAAGGCCUUCGGGUUGUAAAGCCCUUUUGUUGGGAAAGAAAAGCAGCAGGUUAAUACCCCGCUGUUCUGACGGUACCCAAAGAAUAAGCACCGGCUAACUUCGUG
rnacentral:rRNA from 1 species